rnacentral:rRNA from 1 species
UACGUAGGUGGCAAGCGUUGUUCGGAAUUAUUGGGCGUAAAGGGCGCGUAGGCGGUUUGUUAAGUCGGCUGUGAAAGCCCGGGGCUCAACCCCGGAGGGUCAGCCGAUACUGGCAGACUAGAGUACGGAAGAGGUAGCUGGAAUUCCCGGUGUAGCGGUGAAAUGCGUAGAUAUCUGGAGGAACACCGGUGGCGAAGGCGGCAUCCUGGACCGGUAUUGACGCUGAGGCGCGAAAGCCAGGGGAGCAAACGGG